UGUCUCAGAAGCUGAAGAAAGGUCACACCUUAAAGGAAAUAAACGCCUCCUAAGUGUACGGAAAUACCUGGCUGAGGAGAUCAGUGACAAACCAGAUAAAACUGUCAGUGGUCUGAGACAGCUACAAGCCACAAAAACAGUUCAUAGUUCCUGCAUUUCUAUAAUGCAUUAAUGAAUAA